rnacentral:rRNA from 1 species
GUGGGGAAUAUUGGACAAUGGGCGAAAGCCUAAUCCAGCCAUGCCGCGUGUGUGAAGAAGGUCUUCGGAUUGUAAAGCACUUUAAGUUGGGAGGAAGGGCAGUAAGUUAAUACCUUGCUGUUUUGACGUUACCGACAGAAUAAGCACCGGCUAACUUCGUGCCAGCAGCCGCGGUAAUACGAAGGGUGCAAGCGUUAAUCGGAAUUACUGGGCGUAAAGCGCGCGUAGGUGGUUUUGUAAGUUGGAGGUGAAAUCCCCGGGCUCAACCUGGGAACUGCCUCCAAAACUGCAUGACUAGAGUACGGUAGAGGGUAGUGGAAUUUCCUGUGUAGCGGUGAAAUGCGUAGAUAUAGGAAGGAACACCAGUGGCGAAGGCGACUACCUGGACUGAUACUGACACUGAGGUGCGAAAGCGUGGGGAGCAAACAGGAUUAGAUACCCUAGUAGUCC